rnacentral:rRNA from 1 species
CCUACGGGAGGCUGCAGUGGGGAAUAUUGGACAAUGGGGGCAACCCUGAUCCAGCCAUGCCGCGUGUGUGAAGAAGGCCCUCGGGUUGUAAAGCACUUUCAGUGAGGAAGAACGCCUGGUGGUUAAUACCCAUCAGGAAAGACAUCACUCACAGAAGAAGCACCGGCUAACUCCGUGCCAGCAGCCGCGGUAAUACGGAGGGUGCGAGCGUUAAUCGGAAUUACUGGGCGUAAAGCGCGCGUAGGUGGCUUGAUAAGCCGGUUGUGAAAGCCCCGGGCUCAACCUGGGAACGGCAUCCGGAACUGUCAAGCUAGAGUGCAGGAGAGGAAGGUAGAAUUCCCGGUGUAGCGGUGAAAUGCGUAGAGAUCGGGAGGAAUACCAGUGGCGAAGGCGGCCUUCUGGACUGACGCUGACACUGAGGUGCGAAAGCGUGGGUAGCAAACAGGAUUAGAUACUCGAGUAGUC